rnacentral:lncRNA from 13 species
ACUGUGCCAGGCCUGUUUUUAUUUUUUGCAUGACCUAGUUCUGUGGUUGAGUACGAAUGUGGUCUGAAAUCUGAAGAUAACAAAACAAAGAAAGCAGGGGAGUUGGAAAAGAAAACGAAGGGAAGAGUUUGAUGGAAGUUAAGUAUUAUGGUCAAUGCCAAAAUUCAGGAGCAGAAAAAUCACUGGGUAUUCUUACAGCGUUGACGCUUCACCAUGUUACCAAGGCUGGUCUUGAACUCCUGAGCUCGAGCGAUCUGCCUACCUUGGCCUCCCAAAGUGCUGGGAUUAUAGGCACGAGCCACUGCCCCAACCAACAUGAACAAUUAAAAAAAAUUUGUUUGUUUGUUUGCUGUGCUGUCUUUCUUCUAUUGUGAUGCUGCUGUGAGACGAUGUGGAUCAGGGUCUUAAAAACCUUAAAAGUCUUUCAGGCUGGUGUGGUGGCUCAUGUCCGUAAUCUCAGAACUUUGGGAGGCCAAGGCGGGUGGAUCACCAGUGGUCAAUAGUUUGAGACCAGCCCAGCUAACAUGGCGAACCCCAUCUUUACUAAAAAUACAAAAAGUAUCUGGGCAUGGUGCCAGGUGCCUGUAAUCCCAGCUACUUGGGAGGCUAAAGCAGGGAGAAUUGCUUGAACCUGGGAGGCAGAGGUUUCAGGGAGCCGAGAUCAGCCCACAGCACUCCAGCCUGGGUGACAGAGGGAGACUCCAUCUCAAACAAAACAAAACAAAACAAAACAACAACAAAAGUCUUUCAAAGCCAAAAUGUUCUGAGGCACUGUGUUAAAGCCUAGAGCUCCAGCUGAAGCUAGUGCCUGAGUCCAGAUGAUGUUGAAGAAGGAGCAGGGCCCAGAGGGCACCACUCUCAGAAGCCAGGCUCAAAUGUUUCUUACCUCCACCCCAAGAUGACCCAAGAAGACAGAGUUCCUCAGACUCCCAGUGUCCCUAGGAGGUGGCAACCUUGACUCCUGGCCAGAGUUCAGAGUCCUGGUUGUUAACACCAAUAAACCUUUAUAUGCCAGGGAUACUACCA